UGAUGGUGACCAUUAACAACGAAGGUUACAAGUUCUGUAAGAUCCGUGUACGCACUGUGAAGACUCCUCAGAUUGGGGACAAGUUCGCCAGUCGUCACGGACAGAAAGGAACUUGUGGAAUUACUUACAGACAAAAGGACAUGAUGUUUACUGUUGAAGGCAUCAGUCCCGACAUAAUCAUCAACCCUCAUGCCGUCCCGUCUCGUAUGACCAUUGGUCACUUGAUCGAGUGCCUGCAGGGCAAGGUUGCUGCUAACAAGGGUGAGAUUGGUGAUGCUACACCUUUCAACGACACUGUGAACAUCCAGAAAAUCUCAAACCUCUUGCAUCAAUACGGAUACCACCAGAGAGGAAACGAAUUUUUAUCACCUGAUAUUACCAAUAAAAGUGGAUCGUGAUAUGGUUGUGGUGGAUUUCUCGGUGGAAUGAGAACAUGGUGGAUUCUCAGUGGAAUGAGAACAUGGUGGAUUCUCAGUGGAAUGAAAACAUGGUGGAUUUCUCGGUGGAAUGAGAACAUGGUGGAUUUCUCAGUGGAAUGAGAACAUGGUGAAUUUCUCAGUGGAAUGAGAACAUGGUGAAUUUCUCAGUGGAAUGAUAACAUGGUGUAUUUCUCAGUGAAAUGAGAACAUGGUGAAAUUGAUGUUGAAACAUGUGAUGGUGGACUGCAUUUUGGAGAGAUGGAGCGGGACUGUCAGAUUGCCCAUGGAGCCACUCAGUUUCUGCGAGAACGUUUGUUUGAAGCAUCCAACCCAUACCGGGUCCAUGUGUGUAACAUCUGUGGACUGAUCGCCAUUGCUAACUUGAGAAACCAGACAUUUGAAUGUCGGAUGUAAAAACAAAACACAGAUUUCACAAGUACGGAUGCCAUACGCUUGCAAGUUGCUGUUUCAGGAGCUUAUGUCCAUGAGCAUAGCUCCCAGAAUGCUCGUCAGUUGAGGCAGCAAGACGGACAAACAUUGUGUGAAAAAAAUAACAGCUUUAUUGAGUAAUCAGAGAAGAGAAACGCCCCAGUUUUAGAAGAAAGCUAAAGACUUAUCAUCGACAUUGAUGGGUGAACACAUUCCAAAUUGAAGUGUGAGGAUGAACGCACCAAUAGCUAUCUUAAGAUGACUGGAUGGCAUACAAGGGUGCUAUGCGACAAACUCAUCCAUCUGAAAGAACCCAUUGCAUACCUGUUGGUGUAAUUCUGUAUGUUGUUCAUAGUUGUGUGUGACAUUCAUUCAGAUAAUACCAUCAGUUUGUGGUAAAAAUGAGAUAAACACAAGAUGAUACUUCAGAGCUGCCAUAAGCACAGUUGUGUGAUGUACAGUGAAUAAUAAGACCGACUUCUGUUCACAAGAAUCCCUAUACUUAACAGGACUAGAUGUUUAUACUGUCCAUCAGCAAAUAGGACACUUGUAAAUACAGUAAGAUGGUUAUUAUGUCUAGUCCCAAGUUACCGUAUUAUGUCGGAGUUUGGUAUUAUCAGUUAUACCAACUGAAAUUGUAAAAAAUGCAGUGUAUUUAUAUCUACAGAAUGUACACUCCAUGACGACUUUCUCAGUGCAAGUAGCUUUUGAUUCUAUUAAUUAUUUUAUACUUGAUCAGAUCUGUAGUACAACAGAUGAUGGUACUGGUAAGGAAAUAAAACCCAGUUGCACAAGCACAAGUUUUAAUAUUAAAAUAGUUCAGUAAUACAUGUUUUUUUAAUGAACUUCCAUGCUCAAAAUAAAAGAAAAUGAACUACAGAAUUUAGAUGUCUAAUAACAAUUCUCAAUUUUGUGUUCAUACAGGAGUCAUUACAACAGGUUUUUGAAAUUAAAUUGUCACAUUUAAAAAAAAAUUGUAUUGAAGUACAAAAAAUGUAAAGCAAAUCUUCCUUCUAAAUACUGUGACAUUAGUUACCCAAAAGGAACAUCACAAAUAAUACUUAGUAUAGCGUUUACAACAGAUGCAAAACAAAAUUACUAUUGUAAAUUUAGAUCUUAUGCUGUAACAUAUGUUCAUGUGUACAUAAUUUAUUCUAUUUUGUACAGUUCAUUCAAUAAAAGAAAUUCAAAACAUGUUGUCAUUCUACUUUUCACUUUGUAAAAAUUCUUGUAUAUACUGUUUUUGAGCUAUGCAGUACUCUGAUGGGUUAAAGUUUGUUGUGGUAAUUUUUACAGUCAGAGAGGAAACCCUCUACAUUUUUCCAUUAGUAGCGAGGGAUUUUUUUAUAUGCACCAACCCACAAACAGGAUAGUACAUACCAC